UGGGGAAUUGUUCGCAAUGGGGGAAACCCUGACGAAGCAACGCCGCGUGGGGGAUGAAGGUCUUCGGAUCGUAAACCCCUGUCGAUCGGGACGAAAGCACCCAACCUAACACGUCGGAGUGUUGACUGUACCGGUGGAGGAAGCCACGGCUAACUCUGUGCCAGCAGCCGCGGUAAUACAGAGGUGGCAAGCGUUGUUCGGAAUUACUGGGCGUAAAGGGCGCGUAGGCGGUCUUGUAAGUCCCGUGUGAAAGCCCCCGGCUCAACCGGGGGAAUGGCACGGGAAACUGCGAGGCUUGAGUUCGGGAGAGGGAAGCGGAAUUCCGGGUGUAGCGGUGAAAUGCGUAGAUAUCCGGAGGAACACCAGUGGCGAAGGCGGCUUCCUGGACCGAUACUGACGCUGAGGCGCGAAAGCUAGGGGAGCAAACGGGAUUAGAUACCCACGUAGUCCCUGAGCGGGCUGGCAAGGCGCAU
rnacentral:rRNA from 1 species